UACUUUAGCCAUAUCACCCUGCAACUCACAACUGGCAACCCACUGAAGCUAAGCAGAUGUGAGCCUGGUCAGUAUCUGGAUGGGAGACCUCCUUGGAAAAACUAAGGUUGCUGCUGGAA
rnacentral:rRNA from 1 species